rnacentral:rRNA from 1 species
UACGUAGGCAGCAAGCGUUGUUCGGAGUUACUGGGCGUAAAGGGUGCGUAGGCGGCUUUUUAAGUUUGGUGUGAAAUCUCCCGGCUCAACUGGGAGGGUGCGCCGAAUACUGAGAGGCUAGAGUGUGGGAGAGGAAAGUGGAAUUCCUGGUGUAGCGGUGAAAUGCGCAGAUAUCAGGAGGAACACCGGUGGUGUAAACGGCUUUCUGGACCAUAACUGACGCUGAGGCACGAAAGCGUGGGUAGCAAACAGG